rnacentral:rRNA from 1 species
UGGGGAAUUUUGGACAAUGGGCGAAAGCCUGAUCCAGCAAUGCCGCGUGUGUGAAGAAGGCCUUCGGGUUGUAAAGCACUUUUGUCCGGAAAGAAAUCCUUGGCUCUAAUACAGUCGGGGGAUGACGGUACCGGAAGAAUAAGCACCGGCUAACUACGUGCCAGCAGCCGCGGUAAUACGUAGGGUGCAAGCGUUAAUCGGAAUUACUGGGCGUAAAGCGUGCGCAGGCGGUUUGCUAAGACCGAUGUGAAAUCCCCGGGCUCAACCUGGGAACUGCAUUGGUGACUGGCAGGCUAGAGUAUGGCAGAGGGGGGUAGAAUUCCACGUGUAGCAGUGAAAUGCGUAGAGAUGUGGAGGAAUACCGAUGGCGAAGGCAGCCCCCUGGGCCAACACUGACGCUCAUGCACGAAAGCGUGGGGAGCAAACAGGAUUAGAUACCCUGGUAGUCCACGCCCUAAAACGAUGUCAACUAGUUGUUGGGGGAUUCAUUUUCCUUAGUAACGUAGCUAACGCGUGAAGUUGACCGCCUGGGGAGUACGGUCGCAAGAUUAAAACUCAAAU